GAGUUUGAUCCUGGCUCAGAUUGAACGCUGGCGGCAGGCCUAACACAUGCAAGUCGAGCGGAUGAAGGGAGCUUGCUCCUGGAUUCAGCGGCGGACGGGUGAGUAAUGCCUAGGAAUCUGCCGUGGUAGUGGGGGAUAACGUCCGGAAACGGGCGCUAAUACCGCAUACGUCCUGAGGGAGAAAGUGGGGGAUCUUCGGACCUCACGCUAUCAGAUGAGCCUAGGUCGGAUUAGCUAGUUGGUGGGGUAAAGGCCUACCAAGGCGACGAUCCGUAACUGGUCUGAGAGGAUGAUCAGUCACGACUGGAACUGAGACACGGGUCCAGACUCCUACGGGAGGCAGCAGUGGGG
rnacentral:rRNA from 1 species